CGGUGAGUAACACGUGGAUAACCUACCUAUAAGACUGGGAUAACUUCGGGAAACCGGAGCUAAUACCGGAUAAUAUUUUGAACCGCAUGGUUCAAAAGUGAAAGACGGUCUUGCUGUCACUUAUAGAUGGAUCCGCGCUGCAUUAGCUAGUUGGUAAGGUAACGGCUUACCAAGGCAACGAUGCAUAGCCGACCUGAGAGGGUGAUCGGCCACACUGGAACUGAGACACGGUCCAG
rnacentral:rRNA from 1 species